rnacentral:sRNA from 1 species
AAUUAGAGGAAGUAAAAGUCGUAACAAGGUUUCCGUAGGUGAACCUGCGGAAGGAUCAUUACCGAGUUUUGAAAGGGGGACUUGAGCUGGCCUCUCGGGGCAAGUGCUCGGUCCUCUGCUCAAUCCAUCUACCCCUGUGCACCUAUUGUGGGUACUAUGUCGCGGAAGGGGGGCUGGCUAAGGGCCUCUUGGAUGCGCAUAUACUCAUGUUUUACACACUACGCAUGUCCUAGAAUGUCAUUUUUGCGAUAAUCGCAUGUAAAUACAACUUUCAACAACGGAUCUCUUGGCUCUCGCAUCGAUGAAGAACGCAGCGAAAUGCGAUAAGUAAUGUGAAUUGCAGAAUUCAGUGAAUCAUCGAAUCUUUGAACGCACCUUGCGCUCCUUGGUAUUCCGAGGAGCGCAUGCCUGUUUGAGUGUCAUGAAUCUCUCAAUCCCUCUGGCUUUGUUGACAGAGGGCUUGGAUUUGGGGGCUUGCCGGCCUAGUCGGCUCCCCUUGAAUGUAUUAGCUUGGGUCUUGACCGCAAGGAUCCUCGGUGUGAUAAUUAUCGACGCCGUGACAACUUGUGGCGCGUGUGACCGCACCCCUCGGGUGGCGUGUGACCGGACCUCUUGAAGCUUACAAUCGUCCUCGGACAACAUCUUGACAUCUGACCUCAAAUCAGGUAGGACUACCCGCUGAACUUAAGCAUAUCAAUAAGCGGAGGAA